UACGUAGGGUGCGAGCGUUGUCCGGAAUUAUUGGGCGUAAAGAGCUCGUAGGCGGUCUGUCGCGUCGGUCGUGAAAACUUGGGGCUUAACCCUGAGCUUGCGGUCGAUACGGGCAUGACUGGAGUUCGGCAGGGGAGACUGGAAUCCUGGUGUAGCGGUGAAAUGCGCAGAUAUCAGGAGGAACACCGGUGGCGAAGGCGGGUCUCUGGGCCGUAACUGACGCUGAGGAGCGAAAGCGUGGGGAGCGAACAGG
rnacentral:rRNA from 1 species